GACGAACGCUGGCGGCGUGCCUAAUACAUGCAAGUUGAGCGCUGAAGGUUGGUACUUGUACCAACUGGAUGAGCAGCGAACGGGUGAGUAACGCGUGGGGAAUCUGCCUUUGAGCGGGGGACAACAUUUGGAAACGAAUGCUAAUACCGCAUAAAAACUUUAAACACAAGUUUUAAGUUUGAAAGAUGCAAUUGCAUCACUCAAAGAUGAUCCCGCGUUGUAUUAGCUAGUUGGUGAGGUAAAGGCUCACCAAGGCGAUGAUACAUAGCCGACCUGAGGGGGUGAUCGGCCACAUUGGGACUGAGACACGGCCCAAACGCCUACGGGAGGCAGCAGUAGGGAAUCUUCGGCAAUGGACGAAAGUCUGACCGAGCAACGCCGCGGGAGGGAAGAAGGUUUUCGGAUCGUAAAACUCGGUUGGUAGAGAAGAACGUUGGUGAGAGUGGAAAGCUCAUCAAGUGACGGUAACUACUCAGAAAGGGACGGCUAACUACGUG
rnacentral:rRNA from 1 species